AUUGAACGCUGGCGGCAUGCCUUACACAUGCAAGUCGAACGGCAGCACGGGUGCUUGCACCUGGUGGCGAGUGGCGAACGGGUGAGUAAUACAUCGGAACAUGUCCUGUAGUGGGGGAUAGCCCGGCGAAAGCCGGAUUAAUACCGCAUACGAUCUACGGAUGAAAGCGGGGGACCUUCGGGCCUCGCGCUUUAGGGUUGGCCGAUGGCUGAUUAGCUAGUUGGUGGGGUAAAGGCCUACCAAGGCGACGAUCAGUAGCUGGUCUGAGAGGACGACCAGCCACACUGGGACUGAGACACGGCCCAGACUCCUACGGGAGGCAGCAGUGGGGAAUUUUGGACAAUGGGCGAAAGCCUGAUCCAGCAAUGCCGCGUGUGUGAAGAAGGCCUUCGGGUUGUAAAGCACUUUUGUCCGGAAAGAAAACCUUGGCCCUAAUACGGUCGGGGGAUGACGGUACCGGAAGAAUAAGCACCGGCUAACUACGUG
rnacentral:rRNA from 1 species